rnacentral:rRNA from 1 species
CACGUAGGCGGACUGGAAAGUUGGAGGUGAAAUCCCAGGGCUCAACCUUGGAACUGCCUUCAAAACUAUCAGUCUGGAGUUCGAGAGAGGUGAGUGGAAUUCCGAGUGUAGAGGUGAAAUUCGUAGAUAUUCGGAGGAACACCAGUGGCGAAGGCGGCUCACUGGCUCGAUACUGACGCUGAGGUGCGAAAGUGUGGGGAGCAAACAG